UACGAGGGGGGCAAAUGUUGUUCGGAAUCAUUGGGCGUAAAGGGCGCGUAGGUGGCCACUUCAAGCGUGCGGUGAAAGUCGGGGGCUCAACCCCUGAUCGGCCGUGCGAACUGGGGGGCUGGAGCACUGUAGAGGCAGGCGGAAUUCCGGGUGUAGCGGUGGAAUGCGUAGAGAUCCGGAAGAACACCGGUGGCGAAGGCGGCCUGCUGGGCAGUUUUGCUGACACUGGAGGCGCGACAGCGUGGGGAGCAAACAGG
rnacentral:rRNA from 1 species